rnacentral:rRNA from 1 species
AUACGUAGGUGACAAGCGUUAUCCGGAUUUACUGGGUGUAAAGGGCGUGUAGGCGGUUUGGCAAGUCAGAAGUGAAAUUCCCGGGCUUGACGUGGGCGCUGCUUCUGAAACUCGUUAACUUGAGUGCUGGAGAGGAUAGUGGACUUGCUAGUGUAGCGGUUAAAUGCGCAGAUAUUAGGAGGAACACCGGUGGCGAGGGCGGCUAUCUGGACAGUAACUGACGCUGAGGCGCGAAAGCACGGGGAGCAAACAGGAUUAGAUACCCUGGUAGUCCGUGCCGUAAACGAUGAAUACUAGGUGUAGGGGGUAUCGACUCCCUCUGUGCCGCAGUUAACACAUUAAGUAUUCCACCUGGGGAGUACGGCCGCAAGGUUGAAACUCAAAUGAAUUGACGGGG